UACGUAGGGUGCGAGCGUUGUCCGGAAUCAUUGGGCGUAAAGAGCGUGUAGGCGGCUAUUUAAGUCCUGCGUGAAAUCCUGCGGCUCAACCGCAGACGGUCGUGGGAAACUGGAUGGCUAGAGUGCGGGAGAGGAGAGUGGAAUUCCCGGUGUAGCGGUGAAAUGCGCAGAUAUCGGGAAGAACACCCGUGGCGAAGGCGGCUCUCUGGAACGCAACUGACGCUGAGACGCGAAAGCGUGGGGAGCAAAUGGG
rnacentral:rRNA from 1 species